UUACGCUGUAGAUGUUAUUUUCUGUGCAAAUACAAGCGUCUAUUGAUAACGAAACGAUAAUUUGUCAACAAUGAGAAUCAGAUACUUGGCUUAAUAAUUUUCAUUUAAAAUGUCUAAUUUGGAUAUAAUUCGGAAUACAAAACGAAACUUAAAAGGUAUUGAAAACAACAACGUUCAAAAGAACAAUGUGGAUUUCAAUAGAAAGACUAUUUCCACCGACAAUCAGGAUUUCCGGAAUGACCACUGUUAUUUUGACGAUUUUUCUAUCGGUUCGUCGGUAAGCGUGACCACAUGUGACAACAGCGAUGCUAGUUGGAUAUAAAAUUGGUAGACGUGUCGUUGAACUCGACACAUUGACCGAAUCGCUUUUAGCAUGCAGUGCUUGUCAAGUGCCCAUGAAUUUACUUAACACUGUAGAAAGCAGGGAUUUCGGACAGGCAUGUGUUUUGGACAUACAGUUUAGCAAUUGUGGUGCAGUAAAUAAUGUGGCUACUGGACGGAAACAUGGCAGAGUUUAUGACAUGAUCACAAAGCUUGCAUUUGGGUAAAUCAAAAACUGGGUGUUUCACCUGGGACUUUCACAUCGAAACUGGCCCUUCUCCAUGACCUUCAGCACAAAAAAAGAAAGGCUAUAACUGUUACUCGUGCAGCAAAACAGUGACGCAUAAGACUUAAAACUCGAACGGCAUUCAAAGGACAGUGCAAGAAGUACAAGCGGGACCAACAUACAGUUCAAACAUAGAGGACCAAGACGUUGAAGUUACAACUAUACCCCCACCUAUACCCAAGCCUGGUCCAGCAGGGCUAGACACUACUGGGAAGGAAUUUGUUUUCUUUGAUUUGGAAACAAGAGGGUUAGAGCACACUUCUCACAUAAUUCAGAUAGCUGCAGUGCAUUCAACUGGUCAGAAGAUUUCCUUGCAAGCGUCAGAAAUAACUGGAGUGACAGUUGUUAGCGACUCUAUGCUUGUCAAGAGACAAACAGUAACAGCUGUCCCCAUCAAAUCUGCAUUGACAAGUUUUAUAACAUUCUUACAGAAAUGUUCACCAAUUAUUUUAGUUGGGCAUAAUAUAGAGUCUUUUGAUUGUAAAGUGUUGCUCCGUGCUAUCCAUACUUGUUGAAAAAUGUUUGAGUUUCAGCAAAAUAUUUGUGGCUUUUUAGAUACUUAAAAAUGUUAAAGGAAAUAUUACCAAAUAUGAAAUCAUAUUAGCGGGAACAUUUAGUUAAAGACGUCAUUGGUGAAUUAUACAUGGCACAUGGCUCUAUACAGGAUAUUUUAGCUUUACAAAAGUUAGUGAACUCUGUUCCUUUUGACCAAAAAUUGUUAACAAAUAUUCAUUCAGCUUUUACCGAGCAGUGUUAACAUACAAUGUGUAACUAAAUGUUGCUUCCAACAUCAAAUCUUUACAAACCAUAAUUGAUACAAAAGUUAUAAGUCAAGGUGUUGCAAGGAAAGUUGCAGGAAGUGGAUUUCAACUUAAACAUUUGAGUCCUGUAUCAAAAAGAAACGGACUGAGUGGUUUGAGGAGCCCCCUUUCAGAGGUUACAAACGGACAAAUCAGAGUAACAAAAUCAGAGAAAAUAAUAUGUACAAUAGCGAGUUAUUUGUUGCCUGACAUCUAACCAAUUGUAAUUUGCAUCUUGUAUAUAGAUAAGCUAUGAAAUCUAAAAGCUGUUACAUCAUUGUUUUUCCUUCUCGAUGACGAACAUAGUUGUGAUUCUUAUGUCAGUUGUAUUUCUCAUGUUUCACCUAAGUUGUAAGAUAUUUUUGGCAGUGCAUUAAACCACAGAUGGUGUGUGAAACAUAAUUGCCCAGCUUAUUGUAUUCUUUGUUGUUUUAUGCUUCACUGG